CGGGUGAGUAACACGUAAGGAACCUGCCCCAAGGAUUGGGAUAACUCCGAGAAAUCGGAGCUAAUACCGAAUAGUUCUUCAGACCGCAUGGUCUGAUGAUGAAAGGCGCUCCGGCGUCACCUUGGGAUGGCCUUGCGGUGCAUUAGCUAGUUGGUGGGGUAAUGGCCCACCAAGGCGACGAUGCAUAGCCGACCUGAGAGGGUGAUCGGCCACACUGGGACUGAGACACGGCCCAGACUCCUACGGGAGGCAGCAGUAGGGAAUCUUCCACAAUGGACGAAAGUCUGAUGGAGCAACGCCGCGUGAGUGAUGAAGGUUUUCGGAUCGUAAAACUCUGUUGUAAGGGAAGAACAGGUAUGAGAGGUAAUGCUCAUGCUAUGACGGUACCUUACGAGAAAGCCACGGCUAACUACGUGCCAGCAGCCGCGGUAAUACGUAGGUGGCAAGCGUUGUCCGGAAUUAUUGGGCGUAAAGCGCGCGCAGGCGGCCUUUUAAGUCUGAUGUGAAAGCCCCCGGCUCAACCGGGGAGGGUCAUUGGAAACUGGAAGGCUUGAGUACAG
rnacentral:rRNA from 1 species